GACGAACGCUGGCGGCGCGCCUAACACAUGCAAGUCGAACGAGAGAGAGGAAGCUUGCUUCCUUAAUCGAGUGGCGAACGGGUGAGUAACGCGUGAGGAACCUGCCUCAAAGAGGGGGACAACAGUUGGAAACGACUGCUAAUACCGCAUGAGACCACAGCUCUGCAUGGAGCAGUGGCUAAAGGAGAAAUCCGGUGAAGGGUGGGCUCGCGUCCGAUUAGCUAGUUGGCAGGGUGAUAGCCUACCAAGGCGACGAUCGGUAGCCGACCUGAGAGGGUGAUCGGCCACAUUGGAACUGAGAUACGGUCCAA
rnacentral:rRNA from 1 species